rnacentral:tmRNA from 1 species
UCGAGAUAGUUCCAUUUCUAGUUUUUCUAUCAACUAAAAUGGAAUGAAUAAAAAAAGAUAGAAUAUGUGUGUAGACGUUCACUGAAAUGUAGCUUCGGACCCGGGUUCGACUCCCGGCACCUCCACUC